UACGGAGGGUGCGAGCGUUGUCCGGAAUCACUGGGCGUAAAGAGCUCGUAGGCGGCUCGUCGCGUCGACCGUGAAAACCCGCGGCUUAACCGCGGGCUUGCGGUUGAUACGGGCAGGCUAGAGUGUGGUAGGGGAGAUCGGAAUUCCUGGUGUAGCGGUGAAAUGCGCAGAUAUCAGGAGGAACACCGGUGGCGAAGGCGGAUCUCUGGGCCAUUACUGACGCUGAGGAGCGAAAGCGUGGGGAGCGAACAGG
rnacentral:rRNA from 1 species